GGCGACAGAGCGAGACUCCGUCUCAACAACUAUGACAACAACAAACAGUUUGGGACAGAGAAAAAUCCCUGUAAACUUCAAGCCUUUUGGGGUGCUCUUGGGUGAACUCCUAAAUUGCUCAAGGGCUAACUUCCUCAUUUAUUAUUAAAAGAAAAAAGAAAAAGGCAGAGGCCAGUGGUGAAGGCUGGCGAUUUCUGGUCUAGGGUGAGAGAUAACAGAAAGUAACAAUGGAGGCUCUCGCAGUGCUCGCAGGCACUCAAGGAACGGAAAGGAAAUUGCACAUUUCACCCGUGACUGCAUAGGCAAACGAGAACAGCAAGUCUCUGCUUUCAGCUGGAAUGUUAUCAACUUCGGUCACGCUGAUUAUCUCAGGCUGAUCAGGAAGGCUGGUACCAGGAGUGAGUGACUAAAUGAAGAAAUUACUAAUUAACAAAUGCUUGGGUGGACAAUCCUUCAAAAUUUAGGAUCAAUGGGAGGAGACAGAAGGAGUCUUGGGAGGAUUUUUAAAAUAUGCCAGAGCUGGCUGGGUACAGUGGCUCACACCUGUAACCUGAGGACUUUGAGGUGGAGACGGGCAGACCACCUGAGCUCAGGAGCUCAAGACCAGCCUGGGCAACAUGGCAAAACCCUGUCUCUACUAACACUAUAAAAAGUUAGCUGGGCGUGUUGGUGCAUGCUGUAGUCCCAGCUACUCAGGAGGCUGAGCCACGAGAAUCGCUUGAACCUGGGAGAUGGAGGUUGAAGUGAGCCAAGAUCGCACCAUUGCACUCCAGCCUGGGGAAAAAAAAAAGCCAGGCCUCCUAAUGUACUCAUUUAAACAUCACUUGUGUCCACCUGGGUUCAGAAUUGCGCUGGACAUGGGAUACACAAAGUUUCAAUUGGCCUCUUGGUGCCAAAGCACCAUGGCGUGUUACACCUAUCAGAUCGGGCACACUGCCCCUUCUUCCCAACCUACGAGCUGAAAUGGCCAGCACUGCGCCUUCCAGAACCCAGCGUAGAUGCACAGCUGCCACGGAGGUAGGAAGAAUGAUUCGUUUGCCACCAAAAGCCCAGUUUCUCCAACAGGUGAAUCCCUAGGCCAGCCCGGCCCCUUCCCACACACCCCUACCCCGAGACGGGUGCAGAAUCAGCAGCGGGGAUCAUCCAGAGACUCUCGCAGUCCACGGCAGGUGUCGGAGUGGGCCUCAUUCCAGAGUUGUGGUGGCCGCUCCACCUGGCGAGCUUCGAGGGGACUCCGGCAGGCGCUCGCUGUGGGGUCCUCCCACCAGUCUUCUCAGCACAGGAACGGUGCCUUCACAUUGGUCUUCCGGGGCUUAAAAGCAUAUCAUUCCUGCUUGCUCUUCAGAUGCAAACUCCCCCUCCAAGGAUACCUCCAGGUUCCCUGCCAGCUCACUUGACUCACAUGGCAAUGGUCACCGGGCUGCCUGAGCCCAAAUCAAGCACCGUUUAUUAGGGGGAAGCUCCGUUAUCCAGAAAGCUCAUCUUUGAAGAGCUACCCAUUUCCUGCCAAAGUUGUGGCGGGAAGGCCUUAGGUACUAGAAAACCUUGGGGAAUGGCAAUUAAAGGAUUAUCAUUCUUACUUAUUUGUUUGGAUAAGCAGCAAUCACCCUUCGGAUGCUUAUUGGUGAGAAUAUUUCUAAAAGUGUCCUGCACAUUUCCCUGCUUUGAUGAAUGGAACGGCAGGGCAGGAUUUAACUGUCUGAUGGCUACGGUUUUGGGAAAGUGCCAGAACCUCCACGUCAGCCACCCCAGAGCCACAGGCAGGGUAUGAGCCACAGCAAUGGGCCCCAAGAAAGAGCCCCACACCCACCAUGGUCCACGGAAGACGCUGCUUACUGGCCCCGGGUUACCUGGAGUCAUGUGCAUUCUCCUUACAUCAAGUGAAGAUAAUAUUUUGUUUCCUUCCCACUUUUUCUCUAACACAAGCCACCCCAGUUCUCCCUUCUGACAACAGGCAAGUGGACCCUAGUAGACCUUCCAGAAAAGCCUUAGAGAGCACCCCCAAAUGCUCACAUUUGUCAGCUGUAAUUCCACCCUCAGUUAAAACCUGAUUCUCAAUGUGACUUGGCCAACGCAGCUUGCAAAGCAAGAACGUCUUCAUCUAAGGUUGAAAACAUCAGUUGUUUGGGUUGUGAGAAAAGAAAAGCCCACAAGGUUUCCGAGGCUUGGUGCUGUUUCUCACUGUCCUCAGCUCCUGAUUCUGCAGCUGGUUCUCUCUCCAAGCACUAGCAAAACCCUGCCCUAGGAGCCCCCAGACUCUGAGAGCCCAUGACCAAAAAGAAAAGGAAAGCCAAGUUGGGGAAGAACAGGGGCCCCCAACUCCACAGCCCUCCACUCUGCCCAGAGGGCCCACCCUGGGCUGCCUGGAACCCCCUAAAGUUGCCACCCCCGCAACACAGUAGUGGGGCAGUUCCUGGCAGCGCCUGCAGCCCAUGGGCUGGCUCUGUACCCGCAGCCCCGCCAAGCGUCUGUUAUCUUAUUUACUGGAAUCUGCACAGCCAGGCUCUAGCUCACCGGUGACUAAGGAGCUGCAGCCAUUAUUACCAGGCAGAUGGCAGACUCCCUAAAAGCAGACAUUAAACAAUAAAAUGCCACCACAUACCUUGCCCACAAAAUAAAAUCAAA
rnacentral:lncRNA from 1 species